rnacentral:ncRNA from 1 species
CCUAGUACGAGAGGACCGGGAUGGACAUGCCACUGGUGUAGCUGUUGUCCUGCUAUGGGCAUCGCAGCGUAGCUACGCAUGGAUGUGAUAAACGCUGAAAGCAUCUAAGCGUGAAGCCAACUCCAAGAUGAACUUUCCCUGAAGGUCGCAGGAAGACUACCUGCUUGAUAGGGUAGAGGUGUAAGCAUAGUAAUGUGUUUAGCUGACUACUACUAAUA